rnacentral:lncRNA from 1 species
GUUCUGGGGAGUUAGCACCAGCUUCCAAGAGGGGCGGAGUCAUUUUGGGAAGAGGAAAACCGUAUGAGUCAAGGUCUUUGGGAAGCUGGUGGAGUCUGUCUGUUGUAAAGUAGCGAGCCAAUAAUUCUGUAUUUGAGAUCUCAAAGAUUUCUCUAGGCCCUUGCAAAGCUUGUAGGCCCCAGCUACUGUUACCAUGGAGCCUGAUAGAUGAAACAGCCCUAGUGGACGAGAAGGACGGUUGUUCCUCUGCUGGGCAGAUGAGGAAUCUGAAGCUGGACAGGGGAAAGGACGUGGAGAAAGUCGCACAGCAGAGCAGGAGCUCAAAGAGUUUUGUCAGACACCAAGGACCCAGUCUUUCCUAGAAAGUUUGCAAAGCCCUGCCUCCUUGGUAGAUUUCCUUUCUGCUCUCCUGCAAGUGCCCUGCUGAGCCUCUGGGUAGACCUGACUGGGUUGCCCCUUCGUUGCCAAGGACGGAUCAUCUUGCUGGGCUUUCCCAGGGGCAUUAAUGAAACAGCUCCUGUGGUUGCAGCCACACAAAGCACAGUCAAGAUGGAAGUGAUUGCUGUCAUCGCUCAUGGUGGAAGUAGCGGUCCUGGAAACAUUACAGGAUGCUCUCAGAGAAUGCUGCUGUCACAAAGGAAUGAAACGAAUGGACAACCACCUCUCGUUAAGAGAACUUCUUCAUUCAGGCUCCCUGUUGAAGCGAACUCUGCACAUUGGACCACUGGCAUGUCUCUCCCAUUUCUAAAUGAUGGGUGGUGGAAAAUUCAGUUCUGCCCCUCCACAACACUGCAGCACGGCCUUCAGAACGCAAACUAAGGUGGCCAGGGCUGUCCACAUACUUCUAAGCAGACCAGCAAGAGGAUAAAGGAACAAUACACCAUGCUGAUCCAUCUGUCUGAACUAUUUACCCCAAUAAACCCUACUUUACAUUUAUACUGC